rnacentral:rRNA from 1 species
UACGUAGGGGGCGAGCGUUGUCCGGAAUUAUUGGGCGUAAAGAGCGUGUAGGCUGUUCGGUAAGUCUGCCGUGAAAACCUGAGGCUCAACCUCGGGCGUGCGGUGGAUACUGCCGGGCUAGAGGACGGUAGAGGCGAGUGGAAUUCCUGGUGUAGCGGUGGAAUGCGCAGAUAUCAGGAGGAACACCGAUAGCGAAGGCAGCUCGCUGGGACGGAACUGACGCUGAGGCGCGAAAGCGUGGGGAGCGAACAGGAUUAGAUACCCGGGUAGU